rnacentral:lncRNA from 1 species
AUUUUUAGAGUGGAUUAUUGUUUCUUCAAAAGGAAUGUUUUUUUAAGUUUCAAACUUUUUAAAUGAUAGCACAUUGACUUGUUAGUUUGGAUUUGUAAAUUUUUUUUUCUUUUUUUUUUUUAAGAAAAUUUCAAAAAAUUGAUUUGUAAUUGUUUGAGAAUAAAGUCCCAUGUAAGUAGUUUUCAAGAUCAUAAAGGAAAACUAGAACAAAAAAGAAGAAAGCAAGAAAAAAAUUUGAGAUAAAAUGGUGACAAGAUCCUUUUCAAAUAAGAGAGAAAAAAUUCACAUUUUUAGAUAAAAAGUGAAAAGGGUCUUGAAGAAAUUGAUGAUUACUAUUAGAAAUAACUCAUAUAAUACCUCCACCUUUUUUCGAAUACUCUCAUCUUCCAAACUGCUUAAAUAAUUUCAUUCACCCGCCAUAACCCUUUAAUGGUCAUGAACUUGAAUUCAUAAGCCUUGUCUUCACUUGAUCAUAUAUUUGAUAUAAAAGGGUGAUAAUCUUUUCUUGGACAAUGAGCAAUUAAAUAGUUAAUUUGAAAAAGAAAAGAAAAAGACUUGUUUUUUGAAUUUCUCGAAAAUUAAGUAAACAUGACACUUUUUUUACAAAAUUUGAAUAUUGGUAAUUUGAUGUGUCAACACUAUGCUGUAGUCUCAAAUGUGCCAAAAAAAAUCUAAAAUUUAUCAAAGGACCUUAAACACACAAAAGCCCAAUUUUCACCCUACCUUGUCUUAAGACAAAUUGACUAGAAGAGAAAAAAAAACCCAUUGCCCUUAAGACAACUUGAUUUGUGCUGUAACCUUCUCUUUUGUGGAAUAACAUGAACAAUUUGAGACCUUAAAUGAAUUCAUUAGGUAUAGCAUGCUGAAACGGAGGCAUCUUUCAUGAAUCGUGUUACUGGUAAAGUGAGUUAUGUAUGAGUUUUUGGGGCAUGUAAAAAAGAAAAUAAAACAAAACAAAAAUAAAAAAAAUGAUUGUGACAUCAUGCAUUUGAAAAUUUUGAAUAAAUUCAAGCAAAGACUUAAAAAACCUAAAAAAAAGAACAAAAUUCUUUGAAAGAAACUUGGAAGAAAAAUAGAGAACUCAAAAUGAAAAAAAAAAGAUAAGAAAACCAAAAAAAAAAUCAUAAAACAAAAAAAAGAAAUAUUUGAAAAGCCUUUCUUUUGAACUCAUUUUCCUAAAAUGAAUUGCUCUUCAAUUUAAAUGGUUGAGUUUGAGAUGACAAAUGGCCAUCUUCCAUUAUUAUUUCACAAACAAGAAAACUAUCCACUCGUUACCUUUUUAAGCUUGAUGAAUUCUCUCUUAAUGAAUCUUGACCAAUGAUUACCCUCUAUAUUGGUGAGUAAAAAGGGACAUAUUCAAGAAUUAUGCAUGAUAAAGCUCCAAUUUUAAAAACAAAUAAAAAAACAUCUUAUAUUGAGAGGCAAAUGUUAGAUAAAAUUUUUUAAGUUCGUUUCAUCGUAAGUAGAAAAUAAAAAAUUAAAAAAAACAAAUACAAAAAAGUAAAAAAAAAAAAAAAGGUGAAUAAAGUGAUGGAAUGGCAAUAUUUGAGGAAAUAAAUGACAAAUGUCUCUUAAAAAAAUACUUUAUUGGAAAUGAUCCUUGGUUUAAUUAUCCUUAGACACAUACUUCGUGCUUAUCUAUCCUUUUUUUUUUCAAAACCUUGAACCUUGGCCUGCAUUACAAGCUGUGAAAAGUUCAUUUUGAUCAAGUAUAGAUGUUUAAAUUGAAAAGCAUUUCUUUUUAAAAAUCAUCAUAAUUGACGAAGCUUUUACACAUUUUUCUUUGAGAAAAUUAUCUUUUUUAAGCCACAAGUCCAUUUUGAAUAAUGUUGAAUUCUUAAGUGCAUGAUGAAAUAAUCAAGAAAAAAUGAAGAAAAAAGAUGGCUCUAAGGUGAAAACUCCAAAAAAUGGUAGUCUAGAGCAAAUUUAAAAGUAAUGAAGCCAAUCUUAAGCAUAGGAAGUAAGAAAAGCUAGUAUGAAGCCACCCAUACUUUUGAAAGAUCUAAGAUUGCUAAUGGCUUGGAAGUUUGAAAUCCAUUAAAAGGAUUGAUAUUAAAAAUUUGAACCUUCUUCUCUUAUUCUAAAUGACCUUUCAAAAUUUUGAUUUCAUUAUAACUGACCUUGACAUUUACCAAAUUGUCACAUUUGGAAACUAAAAGAAAGUGUCAAAGUUUGGUUUUUUGCAAAAUUCAUGCUUUUGCAAAAUUCAUGUUUCAUUUGUGAGUCUAGAAGGACAAGUAUACACCUCUUUCAUUCCUUUUAUGUUGCAAAGCCUUCUUGAAUGAAUUGAAAUGUUGGCUUGUUGAACCAUUCAAUCCAUUUGAAAAAAAAAUUAUCACCUUUAUCAUUUCUAAUUGUGAACACCAAUUCUCAAGAGACUUGAAAGUUACUUUUUUGAAAUAUUUCAUUUUCUUUAAUCAUGUAGGGCAAAUUUAUUGAUCAAUUUUGAGUUAUUUAUUAGGUUUUUUUGUAAAUAAUAAAGAGAUCAAUUUUGGUAUAAGAGAAAAGUUAUUCUUGAUGAAGAUUUCAUUAAUGCAAAAUGACUUCUGAUUUACAAAAUAAAUUUCUUACUUAAAAAUUAGUCUUUGGAAAAAUAUAAAUUCUUUUUUAUUCCUUUCCUUCAUAAAAAAAAAAAGGAAAAAUCAAUCUUGCUAAGAAUAAAUGAGAUCAUUUUUCAAUGAAAGGGUAAAUAAAUGCAUAUGAUAUUGGGGCAAGAAAAUAUGAAAAGGAGAAUGUUCUUUCUGAAAUGAGAAAAUAUGUUUGAUUGAUUAAGUUCCAUAGAGAUGUACUUAAAUAGUAACAAAAACAUGGGGGUUUGUCUUAUUGAAUCUGUAAUGGCAUAUAAAAUGGGAACUAAUCAUACAUAUGUUGAAUGAUUAGGGCUGAAAAUGGGAAUAAAAAGUGAACAAAAAAAAAAAGAGUAAAAAAUCUUGGCUAAAAAGCAAAAAAAAAAAGAAAAACAAAGAUUAUGAAAGGAAACAAGAAAGGAAAUAGAUGAAAGAAUAAGGAAAAUGAUGGAAUGAAUGAAAAAAAAAUCUUUUAAAAAGAAGGUGAAGAAUGAUUUGAUGAGAAAAGAGGAAUAAAUGAAUGAUUUAAGUGAAGAGGAAAGAAUGUUGUAAACAAAGAGAGAGAAUUGUUAGGUGUUUUACAUCACUAGGGAUUUACAUCAUGUAAAAGACAUUUUCAUCAUUAGUUAUUUGUGUUUGCACUAGUAGGAGGGCAUCUGCAUCAAUUUUUUGUUAGAUAAUGUACAUUUGCAUAAAAAAUUUAAUGGUUGGAUUUUUAUCUUUGUAUGUAACAUUCACAUCAUGAAAAAGUCAUUUGCAUUUGUAUUGAUUUAGUAUUUGCAUCUUGAAAAAGUUUUGUCAUGACAUGGUUUCUUAGAUUUGCAUAAUGACAUUUGCAUUUGCAUUAUACAAAUGUUGGAUGCAUGUUUGUGGCAUUUGCAUAAAGACAUUGGCUUUACACCUUUAAGCAUAACUACAUAUGUCAGUUUUGAAAACCUUGAAAUAAAAAAAAAAAUUCAAGUAUUUAUGAGUUGUAAAAAAGAAAGAAUUAGAAAGGAAUUGAGAAAAAUGAAGAUGGGUAUAAGGUAAAAUGAGGUUUUUGGAAGAUAUUGGAAUUCAUUCUUAGUGGUAACAUAUGAGUUUUUUUAAAAUCACUCAGUAGUGAUAUCCAAGUAUUCAUAUUUGAAUUUCAUUCAAUUUUUUUUGUGGUAGUUUUCAUUAAACAAUUCUUGGUAGAGAUAUCUAAGCCUUUCUAUUAAACUUACUUGGUGGUGAUAUCUGAGUAUUCACAUUUGAAUAUCAUUAAAAUUUUCUUAAUGGUGAUAUUCAAGCUUUUUCAUUAAUAUUUCUUGAUGGUGAUAUUCGAGAUUUUCAAAUUUUCUAGAUAGUGAUAUUCGAGCUUUCUUAAAAUUUCUUAGUGAUAAUAUCCGAAGUCAUUUUUUUUAUGGUGAUCUAAAAACAUUUACAUUUUCUCGAUGAUGAUAUUCAAGCAUCCAAGUCUAAAUUUGUAUAUUUUCUUAAUGGUGAUAUUCGAGAUCUCUUCGAUGGUGAUAUCCUAAAACAUUUGCAUUCAUUUGAUAGUGUUAUCCAAAUAUCCAAGUUGAAUUUGCAUCUUUUUUUGGUGGUGAUAUUCGAGAUCUCUUCAGUGAAGUUUGAAUUUGCAUAUUUUCUUAGUGUUGAUAUCCAAAAAUAUUUGUAUUUACUCGAUGGUGAUAUAUGAGUAUCCAAGUCUAAAUUUGCAUUUUUUCUUGGUGGUGAUACCCGAUAUCUCCUUAGUGGUAAUAUCUGAAAAUAUUUGCAUUCACUAUGAGGUGGUAUCUGAGUAUCCAAGUUUGAAUAUACAUCUUUUCUUUGUAGUGAUAUCCGAGCUCUAUUCAAUGGUGAUAUUUGAAGUCAUUUCAUUUUUCAGUGGUGAUAUAUAAUUUUUAAAAAAUCCUAAAAAUUGAACAUUUCUUUUCGGGAAAAAAAUUUUUAGAAAAGAUUUGUAUGUCUUCUCGGUAGAAUAUUUUAAAUCUUUAAAGUUUCAAUGUCUUUUAUUAUAUGAGAUUUUUAAAGUUUUAAUGCCUUGAUUAAAGGAGUCUUUUUUCAUAUGAAAUCUUUAAAGUUUCCAAAACUUUAUUUUUAAGAAGCUAUUUUCAAAAAAAUUUUUAAAGUUUCAAGGCCUUUGUUUAUAAAAGCAUUCAUAAACGUCAGAAUUUAUAAAAACUUCAAGCAUGAUCUCUAAAUCCUUGGGGUAAAACAUUUUAAAUUUUUAAAAUUUCAAUAUCUCUGAUUAUAAAAACUUCAUAAAUGUCAAGAUCUAUAAAAUCUUUGAACAUAAUCUCUAAAUCCAUCAAGCAAGAUUCGUAUGUUUUUUUAAUAAAAUUUAUUUUAGUGUCAAGAUUUAUAAAAGCCUUGAACAUAACCUCUAAGUCAUUUAGAUAUAAUUUAUAAGUCUUCUAAGUUAAAUUUAUUUUAAUAUUCAAUUUUAUAAAAUCUUAGAACAUAAUCUCUUAAUUAUUGUAUUUUAUUUUUAAAAGAUAUGAAACUUUUGAUUAGAAAAGCUUUUAAAUUUAUUUUAAAAAAUCGUAAACCUUUUUAUGAUGAGAGUUUUUCAAAAAUUAAAAAGAAUAAAAAACAACAAAAUAAUUAAAAAUAAAAAAAAUUUCAAAAAAAAAACCAAAUUUUAAAAAAACCAAAAAUAAAUCUUUUGAAAAAAAUUUUCGAAUCUUGACUUUCUUAUUAAUGUGCAAAGAAAAAUAAUAAUAAAUAUUUAAUUUUAUCUAAAAUAAUUCCAGUUCAUCAAUUUUUAUAUUUGAUUUGAACAUUUCAGUUUGAAUCUAUUCAGACUUUAAUUGAAUAUACAUAAUUAAACUCAUUUGAUUUUAUUUUGAAUGAGUCAUUUUAUAUGAGUUAAAAUCUGACCCAACUUAAUUUGGAUCAUUCAAAGUUUUAAUUAUUUGGGCUUAUAAACUUAAAAUAAAUAAGGAUCAAAACUCAAAAUUUAAACCCAAUUUAAUUUAAGGACCAAUUCAACUCAUUUGGAAAACCGAAUAAUAUCCAAGAUUCAUCAAAAGUUCCAAAAAAAAAAAAAAAAAAAAAAGGAAAAAACAUUUGAAAUAAGGGAGAAGGUCGAUUUCCGUGGCAACCUUCCAUUCCCUAGAUGCCAAAAGUCUUCCCAAAAACCAUUCCAAUUUCAGCUCACCUUUUUACCCCUAAAAUUUACCCAUGCCUUAAGCACCAUUUGAUCAAACAUUCAUCACUUUCCCUUCACCCAAAAAUCAGCAAGAAUCAUCUCCAAAAUGGUAGUCAUAAUCCGCAAUAGUCCAAAAUGAAUUCAAUCCCGUGUCCUUCGAAGAGAACAAGGAUUCUACAAAGAAUAUUCAAACACAUACCUAAUGAGAAGAGGGGAGUAAAAAAGAAUCCUAAAGGGCCAAACUACAAACUCGAAACCAUAAUCUCCCCCACGCCUCCACCACAACCCACCACUAGGACUCAUUUCAACCUAAGAAGCCGCUUCCCUUAGCCCUCGACUAGCACCACCCAAACAACCAAAAUAGCCCCCAAAUCCCAUUCGGCAACCACCUAUCCCAAACAACUAGAAGCUUUCCAAUUCCUUAACCUGCCCUCAUACCCCCUACAAAACCAACAUAAAAAAACACAACCACCCACUGCCAAUAAUAAUCAAAUAAAAAAUCAUAACAAACAAAACCACAGUCCUCCCCUUGAAAGCAGCCUCAGCCAAUGCCAUAAAAUACAAAAGAAAAGUCACAAAAAAAAAAAAAACAAAGACUGUCAGUGUACAAGUCAAAUCUGAAAGUGAGUGUUUCAGGCAUAAGAGGGUUCCUUUUUGGGAAUCAAUGGUGCAUCAAGCUUUGUAGAGAGAGAAGAAGGUCGAUUUCAAGUUCAAAACACCAUCGUCAGCACCACCAUCAGCGGCUGCAAAAGACGGCUAUGAGGAGCUUUUGGGUAAUCCAAAACCACGAUUUGGAAGACUAGAGAGAGGGGAAGAACAUACUCUAGUUCCAAAAGGUUUGGACGGUAACAAGAAAGGAUUUUGGCACCUUGAAAUUUAUGUUUAAAAUUUCAGAUCUAGGCAAGUUCAAAAGGUUUUGCAGAAAACUAAGGUGAGAACGGUGAUUAGGAGGCCAAGAGAAAAAAGAUGUGAAAAUUUGAGACCUUAAAGAUGCCGAACAACAACAGCAGCCGACGAUGAACAACAGAGUGGUGGUCAACAAUGAAUGAUGGAGUGGUGGCAGUGGAAGCGACAAAGGUAGAGAAGCAGCCAGUUUUCUCUAGGUUGAAAGGUUUGUUUCUUUAAAAGGAUUGGGGAUUUUUUUUUAAGAGAGAGUAACGAAAUGAAAUGAUGAAAAAAAAAAACUUAAGGCUUUAUAGAAAAAAAAAAGGAAAGAACCUGGUGGGUCAACCUGACCUGGAUCGACUGGACAACUGCCCAUAAGCCCAACCUAGAUCGACUGACCCAACCCGCUUUAGCAGCUCAAUCUUCCUAGCCUAUUGUGGUUGCUACUGGACUCUAAUGUUUGGGUCUAGUGAACACAUGACCUUGAGCUUCAACAUAAGGUUUUAUUUGGUCAAUUUUUAUAUACUUUUAGGCUUUUCAUUGGAAUAUUUUUACAUUAUUUAUGUUAAUAAUAUAUUUAUAAAAUAUGCGUGCUUUGAAAUGAUUAAUAAUGCUUAUGAAAAUAAACAUUAUAGAUAAUUAUAUAUAUUUUUAUGAGAAUUUCAAUUAUUAAAUGUCUAAAGAAAAUAAAGAUUUUUUUAAGAUGAAAUUUUAGAAAAGUCCGAGUAAUGAUUCUUAAAAAAUUUUUAGGUGAAAAUUUUUUUUCUAAAAUACUAUCAAACUAUUUAGGUAUUUAGAAUAAUUUUCAAUACAUAUAAAAAAAUGGUGUUUACCUUUACUUUAUUUAAAAUAUAAAAAUGAAUUACUAUAAAAGAUAAAAUAAAAUAAUGUUCAUUUAAAUACGAAAAUUUUUAAGAAUAAGAUCCUAAAAAGGUUUGAGUAACGAUUCUUUAAGAAUCUCAAGGUGAAAGGAUUUUUCUAGAACGCUGCCAAAUUAAUUGGACAUUUAGAAUAAAUUUUAAUAAAAUUUUUGUUUGCUUUUUAUUUAAUAAAAAAACAAACUUUUAUAAAAAAAUAUUAUUAAAUCAUUUUAUUAUUUAUGUUGUAAAUAUUGAUUUUAAAAGUAGAGAUACGGACCACCAAUGAUGGGAUUCUUGAGAUGUUUGAGUAGUGGUUCUUAAAUGAUUUUUAGGUGAGAAAGUUUCUUUUAAUAUUUAGAGUAUCGAAAUAUUUUUGGGAAUUUGUCAUUACACAAAGUUCUUAUUUAUCUUUCAAGCAAAAGUUUAAAGAAAAAGAUUUUUGUUAUAACUAGAAAAAUUAAGAAAAAAAAAUCAAAAGUAAAACUACUUUUAUUAAAGUUAAAAGAUAAUACAUGAUUAAUUGAUAUCAUUUUUUAAACAGGCAUCAUGAGGGUAUUAAUCUUUCCCCACACGUAAUUGUACUCUCGAACCUGGCUUUGUUUUUCAUAGAGCAAAAAUUAUCUUUUUUAUAGGUUUUAAUUAAUUUUAAAAUUUUAUUAAAAAGAUAAACUUUUUAAGUGGUCAAUCAUAUCUAACAAAAAAAAAAGAUUGGUAGUUACUCCCCUUAUUUUUUAAAUUUACAAAAUUCGUCAAGUAAUCCCCAAAACCGUUAUGACAAAGGCCUUAUAGUUGUAUUAUGUAACUUUGCCCUUAACUUGAAAGGCAUGUCACAAUCACAUAAUACACAUGGCGCAUUUCGUCACCUUACCUAACUUGAAUCUUAUGAUUUACAUUCAUUUAUAUCUCAAUAUUGCUCUGAAUAAUUGAUCCUAAAUAUAAAAAAAUGAUGAUUUUUUAGUACUAUCUCACCAUCCAACUUAAUCACAUUAGCAUUUGCUUCCCUAUGACUACUAAACUUACAUCUCAUAUAUUUAGUUUUAGAUUUAUUCAGUUUAAAGCCUUGAUACUUCAACAUAUACCUCCAUAAUUCUAAUUUCACAUUAAGAUCAUCACUAGUUUCAACAACUAAGAUUAUAUUAUUGACAAAUAACAUAUACCAUAAUGCCUUAUCUUGGAUAUGUCUGGUGAGCUCAUCCAUAACUAAUGCAAAUAGAAAUAGACUUACUGUUGAGCCUGGAUGUAAUCUUGAGAUAAUAGGAAAGCCAUCAAUUAAACCCUCAAAUGUCUUCAAAUUCAUUACAACUUCUUCAUACAUAUCUUUAACUAUGUUAAUGCACUUUAAAGAAAUUCUUUUCUUCAAUAAGGCCCACCAAAGCACUUUUUGAGAAACUCAAUCAAAUGCUUUCUCUAAAUCAAUAAAUACCAUAUGUAUAUACCAUAUGCUUUCUCUAAAUCAAUAGAUACCAUAUGUAUAUAUUUUUUUCUCACUCGAAAACCCUCCAACAAAAGCUUCAAUAUGUGAAUUACCUUUGUUAUGAAGUGUUUUAGUAUUAACCCAAAUUGAUUUUUGAAAAUAGUGACUUCAUGUUGCAACCUACAUUCAAUUACUCUAUCCCAGAGUUUCAUGGUGUGACUCGUAAAUUUUAUUCCUCAAUAGUUUGAACAAUUUGGUAUAUCACUUUUAUUAUUAUAUAAAAGCACUAAUGUUUUUUUUUCCAUUAUUUUGGAAUCUUUUGAGUAUGCCAAAUUUUGUUGAAAGAUCCAAAAACCAUCAUAUUCCUAUUUCACCCAAGCAUUUUCAAACUUCUAUCGAGAUUCCAUCUAGUUCUAUAGCUUUCUGCGCUUUCAUCCUUCUCAAAGCCUUUUUAAUCUCAUAUCUCUUAAUAGUACAUUUAAAUACACGAUUUAUAUCCUUAAAAGGUAUAUUAAACUCACCUAUAUCUUAAAUAACCAUUAAAGAAAUUAUCAAAAUAAUCUCUCCAUCAUUUGGUAAUCUCUUCAUCCUUCACUAAAACUCUUAUCUUUACUAUCAUUUUAGGUAAAUUCCUUUCAGGUCUUAAGUUUUUAUCAUAAUUCAACACAAAUUCAUUAGUUUAAAAAAUGGACAACCCACUUCAAAUUUUUUAAUUUCAUAGGACAAUUAGGUCCUUUCAUGUUAAAACUUUCAUUUAAGACAAUUUUACUCUUAAAAAGUCAAUAUCCUCAAAAUCUCACAUAAAGCAUUAUUUUAUAAUAAUAAUUUUUUUAUUUUUUUCUCAAAAUAUAUAACAUCUAUUAACAAUAAAAACUUUAGAUAAAAUAUUUAAAAAAUAAAACUUACAAUUAUAAGUAUGCUAAUAUGUAAAUAUAUGUAUAAUAAAAUGUGUACAUUAAGCAUGUAAUAUUAUUUUGACAUGUAAUAAUUAAAAAAGAAACAUGAAGGAUAUAAUCUAAAAAGGGUUGGUUAAAAAAAAAGAAAAUGAUCAUGACUGAAUAUUUGUUAAUAUAGUUUUAGUUAUUAUAAUACUCGUAUAUAUCUUAAGCUUUAAUCUACACUUUUGUGAAAAUAUAGUGAUGUAAACUUAUUCAUUUUAAAUUAAAAAUGGCUAAAUGAUCAAUUUAGGAUUAAAUGUUUGCAUGGUUAAUCAAAUAAGGACUAAACAUUUUAAUUUAUACAAGUAAGGAUAGAAUGUUAACGACUUGUAACAAUUUAGGAUUUUUUUAGAUAGAAAAUUUUAUAUGAAACACAUGUGCCGUAAUAUAGCAUUAGAGGCUUAAUAUUAGGUUGACUUGAAUUUUUUUUUAUUGAUUUGGCUAUCUAGUUGGCACAAAUAGUUUUUCACUUUCAUUUUUUUCCCACUCUUCUGUCUACCACUUCAUUCUUUUUUUCUCACAUCCACUCUCCCUUAUUUUUCAAAUCACAUUCCUUUAAAAAGUAUCAGAUUUGAAUCCCAAACAUAUAUAAGAGCGGAGUUUAUGCUUUUAUUGUAGAUAAAUGACUUAAUUUCCUAUAGUAGUUUCAAUUAAAAUUUUUUUCUCAACAAAUAGCAACUUUGCUACGAACAAUAAAAAAUAGAAAAGAAUAGAAACAUAGAGUACAAACAAAAUUUGUUCUGAAAUCAUUGUGUGAGUGAAACAUAUGAAUAUAAAACUGAUAUCAUUUUAAUUCAAAUCAAUACCUUUUCAUGCCUUUCAUAAACAUAAGACUCUAGAGCAUUUUUUUAUCUGGUUUGCUCUAUCUUCAAAUCUUGUUACAUCAACCAACAUUCUUUCUCUGUAGCUUUAGUGAGCUCAACCUUUUCCAUUCCACCAUAGAUACUAUCGUUAAUUGAAAUUUUCAACCUUUUUACAACUCUUCAUUUUCUUGCUAUACUAGCCAGCACAAGGAAAAUGGGUUUUGGGUUAGUGAAAAUUAUGGUGAAAUAGCGAAGAGUUUUUUAAGGGUGAAUAGUUGAUUAGUUUGAUCGGUUCAGUUCGAAAAAAUUAAUAACCAAAUUAAUCGAUUUUUAUUUUGCAAGUAAACGAACCAACCAAUAAAAUUUUAAAUAAUCGAUUUAACUGAAUCGAUGAAAAAUCGGUUUGGUUCGAUCAGUUUGGUCAUUUUUCUCUUAUUUUAAAUAAUUAUUUAUCUACAAAUUCAAUACAAUAAAACUCAAAUUCACAUAUCAUUCAAAGUAAAUCACUAAAGAAUUUAAUAAUUUUAACAAUAUUUUACAAGAAAAAAGAUAAAUAAAUACUCAUCUAAACUUGUUUAAUCAAAAUAAAUUAAAAAAUAAGUUUUAAAAAGUGUGAUCCCUAGAAAAAUAUGAUACCCAGGGUUUUCUUUCAUUUUUAAGGCAUUAUAUAUUCAAAUUCACUCAUUUGGAUGAGGAAAUCCACAUAUAUUAAAUCAUGAAUAAUUACUACAAUGUCAUUGGCAUAUGUGAUGGUAACUUAAAUAAUCCAAUUUUUAAUUAAAGGAGCUUAUUCAAGGUAUUUUUGAUCAGAAAACGUUUUCAAUAAUCCUUACAAAAAAUUUAAUAGGGUUAUUUAAGGCGUUUAUGGUAAAAAAUAACUUGACGAAUCCUUAUCAAUUUUAUGAAAAGCAUGGAGGCCACUGGUCUUCAAUUGCCUCCAGAAUGGCCGUCCGUCAGAGAAUUUUUAGAAAAAAAUUGGCAUCUUGAUGAUUCAUCAAAUGCUCAUCUAAUUGACCUCAGUAAUGAACUCUCACGUGAGGACUUUCAAAAUGGUUGUAUCUGGGAGGAGUUCGUUAAUGAGUACAAUGUCAUUGUUGGGCCCAACAGAACUCCGAAGACACCUUUGCUCGAUGUAGUACUCAAAUCAAAACACAUAAAAAAAAGCUAUUGAAGGUGGUUUGGGCAAAAAAUACCUGAAAUAAUCUUCUUCAAUUUUUAUGAAGGGAUUGUACAAGGAGUUUCUACCCAAAAAAGGUCUUCAAUAACUCCUUACAAAAAAUUGAAUGGGAUUAUUGAAGGCAUUUCUUGUCAAAAAUGUCUUGAAUAAUUUAUUAUAAAAAAUUGAAUGGGAUUACUUAAGGCGUUUCUGACCAAAAAUACCUUCAAUAAUCUCCUCUCUUUUUUUUUGUAAUUAUUGAAGGCAUUUUUGGGAAAAAAUACCUUGAAUAAUUUCUUAUAAAAAAUUAAAUCAGGUUAGUGAAGUCGUUUAUGGCCAAAAACGCCUUGAAUAAUCCCCUUCAAUUUUUAUAAGGGUAUUAUUCAAGGCAUUUUCCUAAAAAAAUGCCUUGAAUAAUCCAUUGCAAAAAAUUGAAUGGGUUAUUAAAUGCGUUUCUAGCAAAAAACACAUUGAAUAAUCUAUUACAAAAAAUUGAAUGGGAUUCCUCAAGGCAUUUCUAGCCAAAAUGUAAAUUAAGUUUAGGAUUUUUUAAAGGGAAUAUACAUAUUUACCCUUAGUUAUUAUAAGAUAGGUUAAUUCGGUUAAUUUAGUUAUCAAUUUUGAAAACCGUUAACUAACCAAUUUAACCAAUUUAACCAAUUGAAUCAAUUCAAAAAUUGACUAUAAUAAAAAAUCGACUAGACUAAACCAAAAUGACCAUAUUUCAUUGGUUUCAAUUUGAAUCGAUAUUUGCUCACCCCUAGAGUUUUUAGUAAAAAGCUAUGGGCAUUUGAAAAACCAAAAGAUUGAAAGGCUAUGGGUAUUUGAAGAACUAGAACAAAGAUAAAAAAUGGUGGAAGGCUAUGGGUAUUUGAAGAAGUAGAAGACUAGAAAAGAAUGGAGAGAGAGAGAAAGAUGGUAAAGAGAAGAUGAAGAAAGAAUGAAACUAAUAUUAAUUUUUUAGUUUAAAAUUUUUUUAAUCUUUUACGACUCAACUUUGUUUUUUUGUUAGAUUUUUCACUUUUUUUGCCAUUUGUUUUUAUUAAAAGAGUUAAUGGCCGGUGCAAGUCAAUCUCGUUAAAAAGUCCUAAAUUAUUAUAAGUCAAUAAUGUUUAAUCCUUAUUCAUAUAAAUUAAAACGUUUAGUCCUAAAUUCAAUAGCUUCACAAACGUUUAAUCCCAAAUUGAUCAUUUAGCUAAUUAAAAAUAAUUUAUAAUAAGUAAAUACAAGUUAAAAAAUUGUAAUGUUUAAAUAUAGAUAAUUUUUGUUACUAUAUAUUCAAUCGAUGUAUAAAAUAAAGAAUAAUAUAUAUACAAUAAAUUUUAAUGGGUAAUUUUGUAAAUGCUUAAUAGAUUGCAAUCGGUUUUCCCUUUUUCAAACUAAUGGGCUAAUAUUGAAUUAUACUUAAAACUAAAAAAAGCUUGGGUAUAAUUUACCCUAUUAUUUUUUUUUAAUUAUAUGUAAAAAUUAAAAAUCCAUUCCUUAUUUUUUUAAUCUAACAAUAUAAAAAAUAAUUAAAUAGAUAAAUAAUAAUUCUAAAAAAAUCAUUAACUUUAAAAAUUAAUAAUAAGUUAGAAACACUUCUUAUUUAACACAUGAAACCAUCAACACUAUAAGAAAAAUAGACUUUACCAACAGAUUUAUUGAUGAAAUUUUUUUGUUGGUAGUAGUUAAGUUAAUAAUGCUAUUUCGUUGGUAAUAAACAAAAUCCAUCAUAAAUUCCAUCAAUAAUUAUCGACAAAAUUUAUUGAUGAAAUUUUCAUCGGUAAUUAACGACAGUAAAAUCCAUCAGUAAUAUUACUUUUCAAUCAUAUUUAACUAUUAUUUUAUAAUUUUCAUCAUUUUAUUAUAUUUUUAAAGUAAUUAUAUGAAUACCAAAAUAUACAUAAAUUCAAAAAAAAAAAAAACAUUUCAUUUCAUUUAUAAAAAAAUAUAAUAAUAUUUUACAAAAUUAUUUAUAAAUUCUAAUUACAAAAAAAUAUAAUGAGUGAAAACCUUAUUUUGUUUAUAGUUUACACCACAAUGUUGAAAGUAGAAUGAAAUUUUUACAAGACUACAACAGAUAACUUAUUAGCUAAAUUAAUCCACAUUAUGACAUGAAUAUGUCAACAUAAAAAAACUUGCAAAAGGUUGCGACACUUACCAAUAGCUACUUUUAUAAGUCCAUGGAGGUCAAUGAAUGUCAAGUUCACCAUUACAAAAGAAUUGAAGCAAAAUAAACUAAUAAAUAAAAACAAGCGAUAAUAAAUACAUUUAGCAACUCUUAUGAGAGAAUUGAAGUUCAAAAAAUUAGAGCUAAUAAUUCAAGCCAAUAUAAAGAAAUAGCACAGAUCCAAUCUACCAAUAAACUAAUAAUAACCAUUGAAUGAUGGGCAGUAGGCAUAUUUCUUAAUCUCAAAGGCAAAUUAAGCUUGUGUUGGUAUUACAAAAAAGUUAGCAAGAUGAAUUGAAACCACUAAGCAACUAAUUUGAAAUCCUCUAAUUUUCUUUAACUCAACAUGAAUAAUUUUAAUUUCUAUAAUUAUUAUUAAAAUUUAGAAAAUAUAAAAUAUAAAACAUCCAUCAAAACAUAUAUAAAUCUUAAUACACAUCAAACCCAAAUUAACUAAUAUAAAUGUUACACAUUUAUAACAAAGCCCAAUAAAUCUCAACAAUAAUUUCUCCGAUAAAAAAAUGACUCAACAAAUAAAAAAUAAAUUUCUUAAUAAUACUAAUAUUUCAAUAAUUAGUAAUAUAUAAAUUUCACUAAACUAUCAAAUAUAUAAAUUACUUCAAAACAAAUAUAAAUCUUAUUCUACACUAAACCCAAUUAUAACCUCAAAUCAACAUAAAUAAUUUUAAUUUCUAUAAUUAUUAUUAAAAUUUAGAAAAUAUUAAAUAUAAAACAUCCAUUAAAACAUAUAUAAAUUUUAAUAUACAUGAAACCCAAAUUAACCAAUAUAAAUUUUACAAAUCUAAAAGUUAAUAAAUUUAUAACAAAACCCAACAAAUCUCAACAAUAGUUUCACAAAUAUAAAAUAAAUUACUCAACAAAUAAAAAAAUUCCUAAAAAAUUCUAAAAAUCAACCCAAAAAAAUUAACAAUACUUAACAUUAAUACUCAACAAAAAAUCUAACAAAAAAUAAACUAAAGAUUUAACCCAACAAAAACUCAACAAAUAUAUAACUAUAAACCUAAACAAAUUUCCACAAAUUUAUAACAAAAAUUUAAACCUUAAACUCAACAAAUAUACUACACAAAAUACAUGAUAACAUAAAAUAUUUAAUAAAUAAACUUGAUGUAUAGAUGUAGGGGGACUUUACUGGUUGGCCGGUGCAGGUGCAUGGUAGAGAAGGGAUGUCGCUGGUAGUGAGAGAGGGAGGGGGAAAGUGGGAGAAGGAAGAUGGGUUAGGGAUUUGGGGUUUAAUUUGGGGGAAAAUGGUUGCUUGAUUGUUGAAAAUUGGAGUUCAAAAUUGUUUUCUUUUAUCAAUGGAAAAUUCCAUCGGUAACAUGUAAUUUUUAUUUUUUUGCAAAUUUGUUUACCUACAAAAUUUUUCAUCGACAAUUUCGUAGGAAACUUUUAGCAAUGGAAUUACUAAAGAAAAUUUUUGUCGGUAAAAUUCGCUGCACUUCACGCCAAAGUAUCACUUAUGGAUUGCCGACAUAAUUAAAUUUAUUGGUAAAUUCCAUUGGUACAAUUUUUUUUUAACAUUCCAUCGAUAAUCAAUCGAUGAUUACCAUAAUGGAUUAUCGAAAGAAAAUUUUCACUGGUAUUAGAUAAAAUUCUGGUAGUGUAAUUAAAAUGGUAAAAUUAAUAAUUAAUGUGGAUUACUACAAAAGAAUCUCAAAUAAUAUAUUAAUAAUUAAUACAUAAAAUAUUAGAUAUUAGUAAAUUAAAAAUCAUUAAUAAUUUUUUAUCGUAAAAGAAUUAAAUUUAUUUUAACAUAACAUAAUUUCAUAUGUUCAGCGAAUGACUUUUAAUUAUUUAAUUUUCAUAUUUAAAUUUUCUAUAUAAUUUAGCUAUAUUUAUUUGAGUUUAAAAAUUAACAAAUUAAACAUGACUAAUUUGAGUGUGAAACUUGAAUGAUUUGAAUGAAAAACUUGAAUAAUUUGAAAUGGAAAUGACUAAAGAGUGAAAUGAUUUGAACCUGAAUUGACCCAAACUCAAAAUUAUUUGAAUUCGAAUUGAUCAAAUCUAAAAUGACUCAUUUUUUCCUUGAUGUAAACUUGAAAUGAUUCACUUUUUCCUUGAUUUAAAUUUGACUUGUUCCAAAUCCAACUGACUAAAUUUUUUACAUCCAAAUUUGACUUGACUCGAACGUAAAGUGAUCUAUAUUUUCCUUGACCUGAAAUGAUUUAAUCCAAACCCAAUACGACCUGUCUAUUUGCCACUUUUAAUUACAAUUAAGCUUUGUUAAACUAGAAAUUAAUUAAAAUUUUGAGUAUUUGAUUUAGUAGUUGGCUAAUUGUCUUCAAAUUUCCUAUUAUCCAAUUGAAAAAAAAUUCAAUUGAAAGACAAAUUAAAACAAAUAGAACAUAAUAAGGCUAAAUUAGAUUGACCUUAUUUUAGAAAUUGCUACAAUAUCAUUUUGACUAACUUUUGUUCAGUGUCAAUUGUCAUGGGAGAGGUAACUAUGUCUUCCUUAUUUCAAGAAGUGUUGAGGGAAAAAUAAAAGUUAGCAAUUAGUAGCACUAGCAUGCAUGAAAGAGGGAAAGAAGUUGAUCCUUGCCUUUUGUUUUUCAAAAUCUCGAAAUACAAAGAGAAAUAAGUUGUUAUGGGUGUAACUACCUGUAUUUUAGUAGACCAAAAAAAAAAAGAGGCAAAAAGAAAGAGAUGAAUGCGUACUAUUUAAGAAUCGACCUACUGACCAUCAUUUUUUAGAAAAAUACGAUAAGAACCCUAGGCAAGCCUUAUCAAUGUAAAGCAUUAAUUCAUUAGUGCCUUCACAAAGUAAGUCACCAUAUCUCUUUCUAUUCCACACUUUGUCACUUAUCUUUUAUCUCUAUCCAUCACUCAUCAUUUUCUAAUUCAGAUUUUUGAGACACUUUUACAAAGUAAUUAAAUUUUUUUAAGGAAGCAUUUGGUUCAUGAAAUCUUAAAUUUGGAGAGGAAAAAUGAUUUAGGAGAAAGUAAUAUUAAAGGGGAAUGUAUGAUUCCUGGGUUUUAUUGACUUAAGGAAUAUAAAAUUUUCGUGUUUGGUUCACGGGAAUUUAAGAUUACUAAUAAAGUUUUUUACUAUAUUGUUCUUAAUAACACGUUAAUAAUACAUGAUAUUCAUAAUACUGAUAUGUGAAUAAUAUAUGACACAUGAAGAACAUAUUUUUGUUGAAGCUAAAUAAUUCUAAAAAAUAAUUUUUUAUAUUUUCAAUAAAUAUAAUCUUACAAUUCUAAGUACUAUCUUAACGUUAUUGUCCUUACAUAAAGAAAACAUGUAGAUUGACAUUAGAAUAAAGAUAUUUUACAUAAUUUUUUUCAUAUUUUCAAUAAAAAUAACAUUUUUUACUUAGAAAAGUAAUCUUUUCAACAAAAAAAUUACGUAUUUAUCUUAAAAAUGUCAUCUUUAUUGAAUUCUAAAAUAUAUAUUUUUUAUAUUUUCAACAAAAAUUGCAUUUUUAUUUUAGAAACGUCAUUUUUAUUGAAUUCUAAAAAGUUUAUUUUUCAUGUUUUCAAUAAAGACAAUGUUUUUAUCUUAGAAACGUUGUUUUUUCAACAAAAACUACGUUUUUAUCUUAGAAACGUCGUCUUUUCAACAAAAACUAUGUUUUUAUCUUAGAAACAUUGCCUUUAUUGAAUUAUGAAAACUAUAUUUUUUCAUACUUUCAACAAAAAUUGCAUUUUCUAUUUUAGAAACAUUAUCUUUAUUGAAUUCUGAAAAUAUAUUUUUUCAUGUUUCAACAAAGAUUGAAUUCUUAGUUUAGAAACACCAUAUUUUAAAUAAAGACUAUGUUUUUUUAUCUUAGAAACGUCAUUUUUAUUGAAUUCUGAAAAAUAUUUUCUUCAUGUUUAAAAUAAAGACUACAUUUUUAUCUUUGAAAUGUUAUCUUUUCAAUAAGGAUUGUGUUUUUUUAUCUUAAAAUUGUCAUUUUUGUUAAAUUCUUAAAAAUGAUUUUUUCUAUAUUUUUAACAAAGACCAUGUUUUGUAUUUUAAAAAUGUUGUUUUUGUUGAAUUAUGAAAAAUAAUUUUUUUUCAUCUUUUCAAUAAAAAUCAUAUUUUUAAUCAUAAUUUUGUGCAGACUUCAAUUGCAUUGUGUUAAAAACAUAAUCUUUAUUUAAAAUAUAUUAAGAAAAAAAUUAUUUUCAUAAUAUUUUGUAAAAAUUAGUACAUUUCUAAAGUAAAUAACAUUGUUUAUAUAAUCUAAAAAUAGAAUUAAGUGAGGGCAAAUGGGGAAAAUAUUCACUUUUCCUAUAGAAUUUUAAAAAACCUAAAAGAGAUGAGAGUUUUCUAUUCCUUCUGCUUUCUUACUUCUUGACAAUGUUGGGAAUCUUUAAAAAAACCCAAUAAUCACAUUCUUGUGAACCAAACUAUGGAAUUAAAUUACAAAAAGUAAGAUUAUUAUAGGGAAAAUUACUUUCCCCCUAAACUAAAUGCCCUUUAAUAAGUUUUGUCCUAUUUUAUGUUUUCACUUGGGAAGUAUGGACACAUAAUACAAUAUAAUACGAACAUAAUGACAUGAUAAUUUUUUAAAAAAUAAGAAUAAAGGUACAACAUGACAUGACAAUAAAAAUAUUUUUAUAUAUUGAUUUUAUCCAUAAAUUUUUUACAUAAAUAAAAUUUAAACAUAAUUAAAAAAUAAUUAAUGUUAUGAGUAAAAGCAAAAUAAAAUAAAUUUAUAAACAAAAUUAAAUUUAUAUAAGAAAUAAAUCAAAAUAAUUAAAAUUUUACUAAUUUAAAUUUUAAUAUUAAUAAAUUAUAAAAUACUAAAAUUUACUAAGUAAUUUCAUUUUAUCUUUUUUUCUUCUUUCUUUUUUACCUUUCGCUUAUUUUUCUUUUUUGCUUUUUCCCUUCCCCAAAUGCAACAUGUUAUUGCUUAUCCAAUACCUAUAUUUUUUUUCAUUUUACCUUUUCUUUUCGAUCUCUACUCUUUUUUUUUUCUCUCAUUUCUCUUUAAAUACUUUCCCUCCAGCCACCACACCAAUCAAGAUUUUGGUGUGUUACUAUUGCAUCACCUACCAUCGAAGACUAUUUGCAUACAUUUUUUCUCCCAAAAAUCACUAAAAGAUAUUUUCUUUCUUCCUAUCUAGCUAGAUAUCUAAAAUAACAACUGGAAAAGGUUAUAUCUACCAUAACAUCAUGGCCUCCACCUUUCUUUUUACUAUUUUUUGGCACAAAAAUACCUAACACUGCCUCUUAUUUCCUUUCUCUACUUGUCUCAAUGUGUCUAUCACCGUGUGUUGACCAUGUCCUAACUUUUUAUUUUUUGUUGUGUCUUAGUGUGUGUCCAUGUCCAACACCAAUACAACACAGUUACACGGGGGUUUUAAUGUGUCCAUGCCUUUUAGGUUUUCAUCUAACUACAUUUUUCCUUUUUCUAUUUUCUAUUUGCAAUUUUCAAUUCAUUACUAGCACCACAUCCAUUAUAGAAGCAGUUGAUUUCUGUGUUUUUUUUUCUUUAAUGAUUAAGUAAUUAAAUAAGUAGUUACCUUUAAUUAAUGUUUUUAGUUAAUUUCUUGGCUAUUUAAUUAGGGUAUUAGAUUUGUUGUGGGAUAGUUUAUUGAAUAAGAUAUUUUCGUGAUUUUUCUUGCUAUAUACUACAUUAGAAGUAGAUUAGAUCUGCUUGUAUUGGAUAACCCAACUUAACAUAGAAACUUUCAUGGACAAUUUAUUUUGUUUGAAUUCAAAUAAGAAACUCCUUAGACAAAAAAUAAUCACUUGCCUAUUUCUUUCUCUAUGAAUAUGGCAUUCGGCCAUAUUAAAAGAAAAAAAAAAUAGAGAGAUAGUGGAAUAAAAACUAGAGAUGAAAAGGAAAAAAAUGAAUAAGGAAGAGGGAAGAAAACGUUCAAAUACUUUUUGCAAUCGAACUGUAGGAUUUAUGAUAUGAACAAUCAACAAAUUUUCAUUUUAUGAUUUUAUUCUCGACUUGUAAAUCAAGUUGACAAUCUGUCGCAAUCCCAUAAGUAUUGAAAUUUUACAAAUGAUAUAUUAAUUAUAGUUAUAACUUGAGAACUAUGGAAAAACUCACAUUGUCCCCACCAAAUGUUUUUUCUUUCGUAAGAAGGAAUAGAACUUGUUAGAAAUAUUUUCAAAAUAUGAAAAUAAUAUGAUUAAGAAAAAACUUAAUUAAAGAGAAAUCAUAUUAAGCUAUAGAAUAGCCUAAAAUAAGGUUUCAAAUAUCCAUAAUAUGAUUUUAGACUUAGAGAAUCUAAAAAGACUACUAUACAUAUAGAAGUUGACUGCUUUAGACUUUUAAGAAGAAAAGUUCACUAUCAAGGGCAUGAAGUUGACUAUUUUGACAAAUAAAAACAAAAUAGUUUAUGUAUAAAAUAGCAAUCAAUUGCUAGCCUAGGGUAAUCGAUUGCUAUGGCUGGACAUAAACCUAGUCGAUUCUUUUACCCUAAUGGAACCACUGUUACUAUUUAAAAAGUGUUUUGAAAUUGGUUUAGGCAUAGCAGCCGACUGCUAUUAAAGAGAAGUUAGUUACUAUCAAAGAGAAGUUAACUACCCUGAUAAUGGAACCAUUCUGGAAAUGAAAAAAAUUGACUGCUCAUGUGACAAUGCAUUUUGUAAGUUGAAAGGAGUUUAUUGCUUGAAGGAGUUGAUUACCUUACUUUAGAUAACAUUCUUAAAAAUGAAAAUACAAAGAGGCAAUUUAUUAUCAUCUAGAUAGAGUCAUCUAUUCUGCAUGAAAAGUCACAUUUUCUAGAGAAAAGUAGUUUCUCUUAUUAUGAAAAGUUUGAUCAAAUUAAUGAACCUAUUUGUUCUUAAUCAUUCAAAACAAUAUCUUUCUUAUAAAAUGAAAUGAUCUUUGAUUGAAACAAUACAAUCAAAAAGUCAAAAUUUUAAAAUUCAAAAUUCAAUCUUUAUAAAUAAAAGUUGUUGUAGGUUUCUUUGACACAUUUAGAAGUUUAGAUUUCUUUCUUCCUUUCCUCCUAUUCUUUCACAAAUAAAGGCUUCUUUCUUUGGCAUUCUUUGUUGUAAAAAACUUUGUUAAAGAUAAGGGAUUUUCAUCUCUCACUAAGGGAAUUUAGUGGUUCGAUUUUGCUAAUUCAAGGUAAAUCAAACAUAGGUGAAGGAAAUUAUGUAUCAUUAUCAUAGUUAAAGUAGCAAGAUUUUUUAAAAAUUUUAAUUCCCUAAAGCCAUCAAUCAAUAAAAUUAUACAAAUAAUAUAUAUACAAGCAUGUAUAGUUUCAGCUAAGAGUGUUACCUUGAAUGCCAAAAAUCCCUUGGUUCAAUUUGGUGAUCUUUCAAAUAAAUUUCAAGCCAAGAAGCUACCCAAGUAUUCAGCCUCUAAUGGUGAUCCACACGAACUCUUAUGAAAGAGCCUCUCUAAAGUUUGGUAAAACACAAAGCCACACUAUAGCUAGUAAGUGUUUGCAAGACCUUAUAUUUUCUUGAGUGAUCUUUAUGUGCUUGGUUGGUUGCUCUUUCUUUUUCUUACAAGAAGGGGUAGUUUGAUAUUCUUUUUAUAGAGGAAGUAUUUGGCCACAUUAGGUCUAAUGCUUGGAAUACAAAAUUUCACAAUUAACCUUAUGCUAGCCAUAUGUACCAAACAAGUGAAACUCUUUCUUUUGUUUUUAUUUCCUCUAUUUUUGGUCAUACCAAAACAAAUUAAGUCCAACUUAAUUUGUCUUAAUUUCAAUCUUUCAUAAUUGUCCUAUUAUGUGUGAGCCAUUAGGUUAUUUAGCAUGUUGGCAAUAAACACAAGCAUUGUAAGCCUUAGUAUUCGACUAUAGAUGAUAUAAACUUUUUGUCUUUAUCACCAAUUCUCCAAUUAGCCAAUCUUAUAUUUAUAGAUCAUGAUCAAUCUUAUAUUGCCAUGACCUCUAAUUGCUAAAGAAAACUCAAUAUGGCUUGACAACCUAUCCGUGAAUGGUCUUUGUGUAUAAUUAAUAUCCUUUCAUCACAUGGUAUCUCAGUUUGAAUAUUGAGUUGAUUUAGUGUCUACCCAAUCUUGGUCAACCAUGUUAAACCUUAUCCUUGACAUUAAUUCACAAAUAAGUUUUAGAAGAAUUUUAAAAUCUUAUAUCAUUUUAGCCAAAGAUUUUUAAGUUAAUUUAAUUAAGACUAGUUGAGAUACUCUUUUGAUCACACAAGGUGAUGAAUCCCAUCUUGAUUAUUUCAUGCAUCUUUAUAUGCCUUAUGUUGUAACUAAUCAUACUCGACUAAAGCAUUUUUGGUUAGAACCAUAAGUAAAGUAAAGCUAAAGUAUAACAUUCAUCAUAUAACAUCAUAAAAUCUUAAGUCAAAUGAUCACUUAUACAACCAUCACAUGAGAAUGUAGCUAUAGAUGCUAUGUAAACUACUAUAUAGCAUUCUCAUAUCGAAUAAUGUUCAAUGAACUUGUUCUUGUGACAAGCAUCUACAUGUUAUUUCAACUUUACCUAAAUUUCAACCUAUGAGAUUGGAUGCUUACUUUAUAAAUAAGAGCAUAACUAUGUGCUAGUCUCAACAACUUUUGUCAAAUAUCCUCUUAUUGAUAAAGCAUUAACCAAAAAUAAUUUUAGAACAUAUAGCUUUUAUGCAAUGAUGAUCUCAUAAUUACAAUCUCAUUGUAAUUCCAUUGCAAAGCUUUAUUUAUAUUCCAAGGACGUUACCAUAUAAGUAUCGACAUUGAAAUAUAUGUACACAAGCUCAAUGAUAAAGAGAUAAAACCUUUAUAAGAUAUCAAAUAUCAAAGUACCAUGAAUAUGCUUGAAGGGCAAGUACCAACAAUCUCUCACUUGCACUAAAGCCAAUCAUUCAUGUAUGUAAUAUCUUAUUUGAAAACAUGCUUAUUAUAUUUUUGCUAGGACAUAGCUUUACUCAAAGGAUUAGCAAUAUUAUCCUCAGUGGGUACUCAUUCAAUUUUAAUGUCACUUUUAGAAAUAAAGUCUUUAAUGAGAUGAUAUCACUUUAAUACAUAUUAGGAUCUUUGAUGAGACCUUGGUUCUUUAGCUUAAGUAAUAGCUCUAUUGUUGUCACAAUAAAUUAUUAUCAGAUCAACAUUGCUAGGAACAAUGCUUAGUUCGAUUACAAACUUUUUGAUCUAAACAACCUCUUUUGUAGCCUUUGUUGUAAAGAUGUAUUCAGCUUUGGUUGCAAAAUCUACAAUUGUACUCUAUUUGAAACUUUUCUAACUCACUGCUCCACCAUUUAAAGUAAAAACAUAGCCACUUUGUGACUUACUAUUAUUCUUAUCAGAUUGAAAACUUGUAUUACAAUAGCCUUCAAUAAGGAGUUCGACUCCACCAUAGAUAAGAAACUUAUCCUUAGUUAUUCUUAAGUACUUAAGGAUUGUUUUUAUGGUUUUUCAGUGACAUUCACCUAGAUUUGCUUAAUAUCUACUUGUUAUGCUUAAAAUAUAUGAGAUAUCAGCCUUGUACAUAGCAUUACAUACAUAAUGGAUCAAAUUGUCGAAGCAUAUGGAACCUUAUUCAUGCUAUCUUUCUUAAUUUAUGUCUUAGAACACAUGUUUUUAGAAAAAAUUAUGCCACAUGACACUGGUAAGAAUAUUUUUUUAGAUUCUUCCAUGCUAAGCCUUUUUAGCACUUUAUCUAUGUAUCUAGAUUGUGAGAGACCAUGCAACCUCUUUGAUCUAUCUUUAUAGAUCCUUAUACCUAGCACAUAUGUUGCUUCUCUUAAAUCUUUCAUGAAAAACUUCUUUGCUAACCAAAUUUUGGUAGAUUGUAGCAUGGGCAUAUCAUUUCCUAUAAGCAAUAUGUCAUCCACAUACAGCACUAUGAGAAUGAUUAUGCUCUUACUUAUCUUCUUGUAUACCCAAGGUUCAUCUACAUUUUUUAUGAAUACAAAUUCUAUAAUUCUUUUAUCAAAACAUAUAUUCCAACUCCUUAAUGCCUACUUAAAUCUAUAGAUAGACCUUUGAAGCUUGCACACCAUGUCGACAUUCUUUUUGGAUUCAAAACCCUCGAGUUGUGUUAUGUACACAUCCCCUUACAAAUUCUCAUUAAGAAAUGUUAUUUUGACAUCCAUUUGCCAUAUCUCAUAGUCAUGGUAUGCAGCAAUAGCAAGUAAAAUCCUAAUAUAUUUUAACAUGGCUAUUGAUAAAAAAGUUUCAUUAAAGUCAACUACUUAUUUUUUAUUAUAACCUUUUGCAACUAGCCUGGCUUUGUACAUUUGUACGUUGCCAUCCAUGUCAAUUUUUUUCUUGAAAACCCACUUGCAUCCUAUGGGUUUUAUCCAUUAGAGUGGUUCCACCAAAGUCCAUACUUGGUUUGCAUACAUGGAUUCUAAUUUGGACUUUAUCACCUUAUGUCAUUUCUUAGAAUCAAUGUCCAACAUUGCUUCUUGAUAGGUAGAAAGAUCAUCAUCUAUGAUCAACUUAUCCUUGUUCAUGAGAAAUUUGUGUCUUUUAGAAGCUUAGCGAGUCCUAUUUAACCUACAAAGUUUUUGUGUACUUUGAUAUUUUGGUUACACAUUUGAUGCCUUAACCAUUGGCUCAAGUUUCAUUCUAGUGUCAAUUUGUGUUUCUUGAACUUCUUCAAGUUUUACUUUACUCCUAUUAUUCUUUUCAAGGAUAAAUUUUUUCUUAGACAACAUAUUUAGAAAUAAACACCUUUUGUUCCUCAGAGUUGUAAAAAUAAUAUCUAAUAGUUUCCUUUUGAUAUCUCACAAAUUUACACUUAACCGAUCUAGCUUCAAGCUUUUCGGCUUAUGCAUACUUCACAUAAGCAUCACAUCCCUAACUCUUUAUGUGUGACAAGUUAUGUCUUUUACCUUUCUACAUCUCAUAUAGUGUCUUGUCAAUGGAUUUAAAUGAAACUAUAUUACAAGAUAAGUGGCUAUUUCAAGUGCAUAAACCCAAAAGGAUAUAGGAAGAUUUGAAUUGUUUAUCAUGGAUCGAACCAUGCUAUAAGGUUCUAUUUCUCAUCUUGAAAACUCCAUUGUGUUGUGCUAUUCUAGGUGGAGUCCAUGUUGAGAGAAUCCCAUUCUUUUUUAGAUAACCUAAAAAAUCAUGGCUUAAGUAUUCACCACUUCAAUCAAAUCUAAGUGUAUGAUACUUUUACUAGUUUUCUUUUCAACCUCCAUUCUAUAUUCUUUGAACUUUUCAAAGGAUUCGAACUUGUGUUUCAUUAAAUAAACAUAACUAUAUCUUGUAUGAUCAUUAAUGAAUAUAAUGAAAUAAGAGCAUCCUUCUUUAGCAUUUGUAUUUAUUGGGCCACAUACAUCUGAAUUUAUUAGUCCAAGAAUCAUACUGGCUCUUUCUUCUUUUUCAGUAAAAGGUGAUUUGAUCAUCUUUUCAAGCAAACAUGAUUCAUAAAUUUCAUAUGAUUCAUAAUUGAAAGGAUCAUAGUAUCUUUAUUUAUGUAACUUUGUAAUUCUUGUUUCAUUAAUAUGAUCGAAACUACAAUGCCAUAAGUAAGAUUAAUUUCAUUUAUCUAAUUUAGCCUUUUUAACAUUUAUGUUGAGAACAUCAUUGUUUAAUGUAAGAAAAAAUAAGCCAUUAUCACACAUUCCCAUGCCAUAAAACACAUUAUUUAAAUAAAAGAAACAAUAAUUGCCUUUAAUGUUAAAUGAGUAUCCAUCUUUCAUACUUAAAUAAGAAACUGAAAUGAUGUUUCGAGUUAUGAUAGUAGCAUAAUGACAAUCCUUUAGUUUAAAAUAAACUAAAAGGUAAAGAUAAAUAUGUCCCUACGACAUAGGCAACAAUACUUAAGCCAUUGUCAACACAUAAGGACAUCUCUCCCUUUUUUAGACAUCUGCUUUUCUUUAGUCAUUGAAUAGUAUUACAUAAGUGAGAACCACAUCUGGUAUCCAAUACCCAAGAAUAUGUUUCAAGAAGAGAUAGAUUAAUCUUAAUCGUAAACAUACCUGAAGUUGAAGUCUCUUUAGAUUUCUUCUCCUUUAAGCUUACCAAGUAGACCUUACAAUCCUUCUUUUAAUGACAUUCCUUACCACAAUGGCAACAUGUACCUUUGUCCUUUUUUAUGUCGCUAGCAGGCUUGAUAACCUUGCUUACAUCCCUUUUCUUAUAAACCUUUUUACUUUUUUCCUCUUUGUUAACUUUUUCUUGGCCUUAGAUGAAGAAAAUAGAAGAGUCUCAAGCUUUUAAUUCUUAAUAGACUUUUUAGCAGUGUCAAGCAUAUUUAGCAAUUAUGGUAAUGUUACUUCCAUCUAAUGCAUGUUGAAGUUCAUUACUAAUUGUGAAAAGCUACUAGAAAGAGAUGACAAGAUCAAGUUAACAUUUAACUCAUAAUCCAUCACAAAUCUCAAUUGUCUAAGUUUCUCAAUCCAAUUAAUCAUCUUGAGAUAAUGUCACUUUGACCAAAGUGCUCUCAAACAUCACUAUUCGUAAUGAUUCUUUAGAGGUCUCAAACCUUUCAAUUCACCAUUGUUUGUUAAACAACUUUUUAAGGUAUAGAAUGAUUGUCAGAGCAUUCAUAUUUUCAUGUUGCCUUUACAACUCAGGGGUCAUGCUAGCCACUAUGAUACAUGCGACUUGAUCAGCAUGGUCUUUAUAGGUUUCAUAAACCCCUAACACUGUAUCACCAACACGAACAUCUGGUUUUGAUCAAACUGAUUCAUUAAGAACAUAAAGUAUUUUCUCUUUCUUUAGGACAAGCUUCAAAUUGCAAUAUCAAUCAUUGAAAAUAAGCCUUGUGAGCUUUUUAGCAUUACGUCUGCUAUGAAACGACAAGUUAUCACUCAUUUUUGCAACCUAAAAUAUGAACAAGUAUCAAUCGUAUUGGUCAAUACCAAUAUUGAAACAAUCCAAAUCUAUAUAUUGGUUGCUCCUACUAUUUUAAUUAAAUCAAUAACCUUCAUUAUUAAUUUAAAAAAAUCAUAUUUUUCUAGUGGGCUAGGAUCCCAUUUAGUUUACCAUAACCUUGAGGUUUGUCUCAAUAAGCUAUGAUAAGUAAAUUAGGUAGAUAACUUACUUAUUAAUCACAUCUCUAUGUGACUCUUAGAUCAAUUGAGUGACAACUCCUUGUCUAAUCACAUCUUAUGUGAUUCGUCCAAUCAUUUUCUUUAACAUUAUUCGGUCUAAUUUUUUGCAUCUAAACAAUACAAUGAUAGUUAAGUAAGAACCAUUAACCUAACACAACCAUAUUUCGAAUAAUGAGUGCUUUGAGUUUUGUCUCAACAAGCUCUACUAGUAGAAAGUUUUGUUGUUUAUGUUAAUGGAAGGCAUCAAGACUUAAAAUUUUCCAUGAGGAAUUGUUGAUUCAUCAUAAGUCUCAUUAAGCAUGCAUAAAAAUUUAUCAUAUAUCCAAUACAUGUAAUCUUAUCAUGCAUCUCACAAUUAUACAUGGCAUUUAUCACAUAUAAAUUCUAGCAUGUAUAACAAUAAAUCAAUAUAUCAUACAUGGUAUUUAUAUCAUAACUAAUAUGCAUACUACAACAAUCAUCAUGCUUGUUCAAAUUCAUGAUCUUGCAUAUCUAUUCUUUGAAUCAAUAUCAAUAUCAUAUAUCAAUUAUCAAUCUAACUCAAUGUGAUGCAAGGCAUAGACAUAUUUAACUAGCAUGGCUAAAUAUGUCAACUAUUAUCUUAGGAACAUGGAAUUUACAAUCAUAAUUUUCUAAACAAUUAAGGAAUCAUAAUUUUACUUGAGUUUUAAUGUAAUAUGGUCAACAUCACUCUAAACUGUUUAGGAAUGUCAAUCAAUUAAAAUCAAUCCAAAUCACAUGCACUAGGAUUUUCCUAGUCCAACUAGGUGUUGUAGUGAAAUAGUUUCUUAUUAAUUGAAAGUUCUAAACAAUUUAAAAAGUCCAAUUCAAUCUAGAUUUCAUAUGAAAUCUUAUUUCUCAAAUGCAAACUAUUUAAGAAUCCAAAUUCAACAAGAAAUAACACCAAUCUAGGGCUUGGCCAAAAAGCCCUUUGAGAAGGAAAGCAAAUUACGUAUAGGGUAGUUUUUAUAGAAACUAAGUAGUUUUAGCCAUUUAUUGCUAUGCCACCCCAACUAGCCACCAUCCAAAAGUUUUAAACUCUUUCCCAUGCUUUAUUAUGCCUUUGGUCAUGAUUCUUGAAUCUCAAGUAAUAAUUACUUUGACUUUUAUAAAAAUAGCCUACCAAAUUUGGUGAUAAAAAUGGCAAAUCUUGAAAUCUUGGUUAACAAGUUUCCUAAGAUUUUCAAUAUUGAUUACCAAGUAGAUUUCAUUAAAAUCUUAGUGAGCAAGUUUUUAAAGUCUCUUAACUUUUAAGAAUACCAGCUGCAUCAAGAAAACUAAUUACCAUAAUCAUAUUAGGGCAACCAUACAUCAUAUGAAUAUUUUACAUGCCUAGCCGCCAUUGGUAGAUUUUAUGGUUGAAUGUGUCAUCAACUUUUAAAUGAACAAAUCAACCCUAAAAAUUCUAAAAUUUCUACAUAAUGAUAAUCAAUACGUCUAUUUUUAUAGGUUAAAAUUUCAUAGCCAAAUAAUAUUUGUUAGCUCAAAGAUUUGGAAUAAACCAAGAGGGGGGUGAAUUGGUUUUUAAUGAAGUUUUCAAAAACAAUAUUUAAUAAGCACAAAUUUUGCUAAACAAUUAAACACAAUAAUUGAAAGUAAAUAAGAGAUAGAGAUAGAGAAGAUAACAUCGCAAUUUAUAAAGGUUUGGUUCUUCUUUAGGCACCUAUGUCCUCUUCCUUAGCCUCUAUUGCCAAGGAGUUCAAUCCACUAUAUGAAAAAAGUUACAAGCAAGCUUCUCAAAGCUUUACAAAAACUUAACUCAACACACUCUUAAGGGUUAUCCUCUCCUUUAAGCUUAUAAUCACACAAUACAAAAUUUUAAAGUGUUUUGCAAACUUUAAGGACCUCUCAAAGGUUGGGUGUUUGCUAAUUUGAAGUACACAAAGGUAUAGACAAGAAAAUGAUGAAUGAAUAACAAAAAGAUAAUUUUGGAUACAAUAAUUGCAAGGAUAUAGACUUUGAAGCUCUAAGAACUCUUGAUUAUUUGAGAAAAAGAAAAUAUUACUUGUUAGCUCUUGCUCUCUUGAUUCAUCUUCUUUGCUCUACCUUUUUGGUGUGUUGGAGUGCCCAAUUUAUAGAGAAAUUGAGGAACUAGCCAUUGGGGAAGCUUGGAGUGAAGAAAUGCCCGUUGGAAGCACCAAAAAGUAGUCGUUGGAGUCUUUUCGCCCAGAACUGAUCAAUCCCUUGCUUGAAGGGAUCGAUUGGUUCACGUUGGAGAAGGCACGACUUUAUGCCUAAAAAGCUUUACCCAAUCGAUCCCUUGCUUGAAGGGAUCGAUUUGUUCUUUAGGUGAUCGAUCCCCUAUGUGGGGGGAUCGAUCCCUUUUCUGGAUUUUUAGACUUGGGGGGCAUUCUGUUUGAGCAAUCGAUCGAUCCCUUUUAAGAGGGGAUCGAUCCAUUUUUUGGGUUUCAGACUUGGAGGCAUUCUCUUUAAGCAACUAAUGGAUCCCUUUUAAGAGGGGAUCGAUCCCUUAUGUGGGGGAUCCCUUUUUUAGAAAAUUGAGGGAGGCGAUGAUUCUGUAUGAAAAAGUGAUCGAUCCUGUCUAGCUGGGUGGUAGUCUCUUAUUCUGUACUCUACUUACUAAUUUGAUCAUAUCUUGAGUUAUACAAAUCCAAAUUACAAACUGUUUGAAGAUUUAGAAACUAGACUUAAAGGGCUUUCUAUCCAUUUAAAUUUUAUUACCUAAUUAAUUGUAUACGAAUUAUAGUGAAUUUUCAAAUCUACCCCUUGUGCAGUUUUCUGGACAACUAUAGUGUGUCUAGUAAAAAUUCAAAAUCUUUUCUUAGAAAAUUUAGAUUUUCAUUUUGUUUAAUUCAUUAGAAAGUAGACUCAAUGAGCUUUCCAACCAUAUAAAAUUCAAAUAUUAAAACCUUGUGAAUUUAUACAGAAAAAUAAAAUAAAUUCAAUGUCCAAAAACUUUGUUUUUGUAAAGCAACUUUCCUAAGUUAAUCUAUUUCCUAAAACCAAUGUUAUCAAAAUUGUAUUAAGUCCAAAAUGAAUAAGUUCACUUUAAAAACAACAAUUGGACUUUCAUUUAAGCUCAAAUAAAGGAAGAUUUGGUUUGAGAAAUAUGACACAAAGAAAGGUUUGUUUAAACUUUGAAAAUCAUAUUAUUUAUUUAGUACCAAAAUAUAAAACUUAAGAACAUGUUUUAAAUAAAUCUUUUUCAAAAUCUUGAUCAAGUUUAUUUAGCUUUAAUGUUUUGUCAUUUCAAAAUAAGGAUCAAUUUAAGGCUAAUAAUCUCCCCCUUUUUGAUAUGACAAAACUUAAAGAUAAAUUUGCUUGAUAAAAAUACUUUCUUUGAAACAUUUAAGAUUUUAAAAGAUAUUUUGGAAAACUCCCCCUCAAUUUGUGCAUCCUAAUCCAAUGGCAAAACUCCCCUUCAAUUUAUGCAUCAUAACACAACUCAACAAAC